UGCGGGAUCGUCUAACGGUAGGACACCACCCUUUGAAGGUGGCUAUCCUGGUUCGAAUCCAGGUCCCGCAG
rfam:Candidatus Falkowbacteria bacterium RBG_13_39_14 RBG_13_scaffold_47445, whole genome shotgun sequence.